AAUAUUGCACAAUGGGGGAAACCCUGAUGCAGCGACGCCGCGUGAGCGAAGAAGGCCNNNGGGUCNUCACGCUCUGUCCUAGGNGAANAAACGGACGGUACCCUUAGAGGAGGCACGGGCGAACUACGUGCAGGAGGCCGCGGUAAUACGUAGGGGGCGAGCGUUAUCCGGAAUUAUUGGGCGUAAAGGGUGCGUAGGCGGCCUUUUAAGUCAGAUGUGAAAGACCACAGCUUAACUGUGGGGUUGCAUUUGAAACUGGAGAGCUUGAGUAUCGGAGAGGGUAGUGGAAUUCCUGGAGUAGCGGUGAAAUGCGUAGAUAUCAGGAGGAACACCAGUGGCGAAGGCGACUACCUGGACGAAAACUGACGCUGAGGCACGAAAGCUAGGGGAGCAAACA
rnacentral:rRNA from 1 species